AUUGAACGCUGGCGGCAUGCUUUACACAUGCAAGUCGAACGGUAACAGGCCUUCGGGCGCUGACGAGUGGCGAACGGGUGAGUAAUGCAUCGGAACGUGCCCAGUCGUGGGGGAUAACGCAGCGAAAGCUGUGCUAAUACCGCAUACGAUCUGCGGAUGAAAGCGGGGGACAUUCGGGCCUCGCGCGAUUGGAGCGGCCGAUGUCAGAUGAGGUAGUUGGUGGGGUAAAGGCUCACCAAGCCAACGAUCUGUAGCUGGUCUGAGAGGACGACCAGCCACACUGGGACUGAGACACGGCCCAGACUCCUACGGGAGGCAGCAGUGGGGAAUUUUGGACAAUGGGCGCAAGCCUGAUCCAGCAAUGCCGCGUGCAGGAAGAAGGCCUUCGGGUUGUAAACUGCUUUUGUACGGAGCGAAAAGGCUCCCUCUAAUACAGGGGGCUCAUGACGGUACCGUAAGAAUAAGCACCGGCUAACUACGUGCCAGCCGCCGCCGUAAUAC
rnacentral:rRNA from 1 species